CCCUGAAGUAAACUGUAUGCCCCAGAGGACUUUGGGCUGCUUCAACAUUCAGUUGGGCCUCUUGCUGCUCUUCUAGAUCUUACAUGCCUUAAUACCUACCCAACGAAAAUGGCACGAUUCCAGAGCAGCAGGAGUAACAUUAACACAAUGCAUUGCCGCUGGAUGAGGAAAGCAAGACGUGGUGGCGGCGGCUCUGGGCGGAGGAAGAAAGGGAAAGGUCGGAGAAGAGGUGGCCGGAAAAGAGGGUCCUGCAAAGGCAGUAGAGGAAGAAGAGGGAGAAGACGCUAAACUUCCGGAUGGCUUGUCACUACCCUGUGAACAGCAAAGUAAAAGGCUAUUGCCCUGUUCAGUCUCUUCUCUAAGAUGCUGAAGUCCAUCCCUGUCAGACUCUUCGUUAUUACCACUUAACAACUUUCUGGCCACUUACUUGAGACUGAAUAGUGUCCUCUUGUUAAUAAACUCUGAAAUAUCAUCACUGU
rnacentral:lncRNA from 11 species